rnacentral:rRNA from 1 species
UACGAAGGGGGCUAGCGUUGCUCGGAAUCACUGGGCGUAAAGCGCACGUAGGCGGACUCUUAAGUCGGUGGUGAAAUCCCUCGGCUUAACCAAGGAAGUGCAUCCGAAACUGCAGAGCUUGAGUACUUAAGAGGAUCGCGGAAUUCCCGGUGUAGAGGUGAAACUCGUAGAUAUCGGGAGGAACACCAGUGGCGAAGGCGGCGAUCUGGGAAGAUACUGACGCUGAGGUGCGAAAGCGUGGGGGAGCAAA